rnacentral:rRNA from 1 species
AGGGUGAGUCGACCCCUAAGGCGAGGCCGAAAGGCGUAGUCGAUGGGAAACAGGUUAAUAUUCCUGUACUUGGUGUUACUGCGAAGGGGGGACGGAGAAGGCUAUGUUGGCCGGGCGACGGUUGUCCCGGUUUAAGCGUGUAGGCUGGUUUUCCAGGCAAAUCCGGAAAAUCAAGGCUGAGGCGUGAUGACGAGGCACUACGGUGCUGAAGCAACAAAUGCCCUGCUUCCAGGAAAAGCCUCUAAGCAUCAGGUAACAUCAAAUCGUACCCCAAACCGACACAGGUGGUCAGGUAGAGAAUACCAAGGCGCUUGAGAGAACUCGGGUGAAGGAACUAGGCAAAAUGGUGCCGUAACUUCGGGAGAAGGCACGCUGAUAUGUAGGUGAAGCGACUUGCUCGUGGAGCUGAAAUCAGUCGAAGAUACCAGCUGGCUGCAACUGUUUAUUAAAAACACAGCACUGUGCAAACACGAAAGUGGACGUAUACGGUGUGACGCCUGCCCGGUGCCGGAAGGUUAAUUGAUGGGGUAGCGCAAGCGAAGCUCUUGAUCGAAGCCCCGGUAAACGGCGGCCGUAACUAUAACGGUCCUAAGGUAGCGAAAUUCCUUGUCGGGUAAGUUCCGACCUGCACGAAUGGCGUAAUGAUGGCCAGGCUGUCUCCACCCGAGACUCAGUGAAAUUGAACUCGCUGUGAAGAUGCAGUGUACCCGCGGCAAGACGGAAAGACCCCGUGAACCUUUACUAUAGCUUGACACUGAACAUUGAGCCUUGAUGUGUAGGAUAGGUGGGAGGCUUAGAAGUGUGGACGCCAGUCUGCAUGGAGCCGACCUUGAAAUACCACCCUUUAAUGUUUGAUGUUCUAACGUGGACCCGUGAUCCGGGUUGCGGACAGUGUCUGGUGGGUAGUUUGACUGGGGCGGUCUCCUCCUAAAGAGUAACGGAGGAGCACGAAGGUUGGCUAAUCCUGGUCGGACAUCAGGAGGUUAGUGCAAUGGCAUAAGCCAGCUUGACUGCGAGCGUGACGGCGCGAGCAGGUGCGAAAGCAGGUCAUAGUGAUCCGGUGGUUCUGAAUGGAAGGGCCAUCGCUCAACGGAUAAAAGGUACUCCGGGGAUAACAGGCUGAUACCGCCCAAGAGUUCAUAUCGACGGCGGUGUUUGGCACCUCGAUGUCGGCUCAUCACAUCCUGGGGCUGAAGUAGGUCCCAAGGGUAUGGCUGUUCGCCAUUUAAAGUGGUACGCGAGCUGGGUUUAGAACGUCGUGAGACAGUUCGGUCCCUAUCUGCCGUGGGCGUUGGAGAACUGAGGGGGGCUGCUCCUAGUACGAGAGGACCGGAGUGGACGCAUCACUGGUGUUCGGGUUGUCAUGCCAAUGGCACUGCCCGGUAGCUAAAUGCGGAAGAGAUAAGUGCUGAAAGCAUCUAAGCACGAAACUUGCCCCGAGAUGAGUUCUCCCUGACCCUUUAAGGGUCCUGAAGGAACGUUGAAGACGACGACGUUGAUAGGCCGGGUGUGUAAGCGCAGCGAUGCGUUGAGCUAACCGGUACUAAUGAACCGUGAGGCUUAACCU